AUUCCGGUUGAUCCUGCCGGAAGCCAUUGCUAUUGGGAUCCGAUUUAGCCAUGCUAGUCGCACGAGUUCAGACUCGUGGCGAAUAGCUCAGUAACACGUGGCCAAACUACCCUUCGGAACACAAUACCCUCGGGAAACUGAGGCUAAUAGUGUAUACCAUACCACCACUGGAAUGAGUGGUAUGCCAAACGCUCCGGCGCCGAAGGAUGUGGCUGCGGCCGAUUAGGUAGACGGUGGGGUAACGGCCCACCGUGCCAAUAAUCGGUAUGGGUCAUGAGAGUGAGAACCCAGAGACGGAAUCUGAGACAAGAUUCCGGGCCCUACGGGGCGCAGCAGGCGCGAAACCUUUACACUGCACGACAGUGCGAUAGGGGGAUCCCAAGUGCACAGGCAUAGCGCCUGUGCUUUUCGGUACCGUAAGGUGGUACCAGAAUAAGGGCUGGGCAAGACCGGUGCCAGCCGCCGCGGUAAUACCGGCAGCCCAAGUGAUGGCCGAUCUUAUUGGGCCUAAAGCGUCCGUAGCUACUUUCC
rnacentral:rRNA from 1 species